rnacentral:sRNA from 1 species
CUGCAGCAUAAGGCACUGCACUGGCUAUCCUUAUCCAUCCCGAGAAGCAGGGCGGUGUUGCCUGGAGCCCCUCGGAUUUCCAUGGAACCUUGAGGCAAUCAUUAACCUCUUUGAUCUUCAGGGUUCUCAUGUGACACAAGAGACGGUAAUGCUGAGCUCACAACGCUGAGGGAUGGUUAUGUAAAUUUGAACACCAGGAGAGGCUCAGAGUAUGAAUGUGCAGAACCAACACCGUGGAAAGGAAGACACAGGGUGAGCAUCUGGAAGAAGUCUUUGGGAAAGUCCAGUCUGUAGCACAUUGAUCUUGAUUGUCUAGUCAUCCAGUGUGAUAGACUCAGGAGCCGGCAACUGUAGCUCCUCUCCAGUGAACUACUGAAGAGCUGGUGGGAUCUUUGAAAGGCUAAACGUGUUUACAACAAAAGAAAUGGAUUCAUGUGUGAAGGCCACUGAUAGGAAAGGAUUAACAUUUGGAAGCCUGCAUUGAGGUAAAAAGAUCAUUCCACCCCAAAUUUUAGAGUUAAGCUCUUCAAUCUGACUCCUGGACCACCCGCCCCCUUCCUUCUCUGUACCCCCACCCCACCUCCACCCCAUGCCCCGUGCCCACUUCAGUGAAAGCCGUGCUUGGAAACGGAUAUAACACGUAUGUUUUAAGGAGGCCCCCGUUGGUGAGUUAUCGUGACAUUUUUCUAUUUGGUUUCGGGAUUCUGGUUAUGGGGAACCCUGACUGGGAACCGGGAGGACCUGCCAAGGUUUAUGCACCCUACUCAGGGUAAAGGGAGAUGCCCCAUGGUCCACUAGUCAAUUCUGGUUAAUCUUGGAGUUCAGCCAGAGUCACCAGUUUUCUUUUGUUCUUCUUCUGACUGUUUUCUCAUGAGAGCACUUACUAGAGAUACCAGGCAAUAAGCUCUAGAGGCCAAUGUGCCCCAGUGAAUUAGAGAGACCAAGCAUACGGGUAUUUAUCCGUGGGGUUCCAAUACCUGGGUGUCACAUCAGAACUGAGAAACCAUAGGGGCAUUCAAUGACCCUGGGGCCAAGCUCAGGGUUUCACCAGGCCCAGAGUAGAUUAGGGAGUUGAGGAAAUUCAGAGAUGUCCAGCCUGUGAUGGGUUCCUACCAUCUAGGUUAUAAGGGGAAGCUACUAAGAAAGUGGCCUCUGAUUUUCUCUUGGUCAGACUGGUGGACCUCUGGAGCAGAAGACUUAGUUGUUGAAUGUCUCCUGUUUUCUGUUGCCGUUUGGUGCUGUGUCUUGUCUCGUGCAUGUACCUAUUGUUCAGUAUUCUGACUCGGGGUGACUGGAUAUACCAACGAUAGGAUACACUGCUCCAAAGGUUACUCCUGAAACUGCGGAGCUGUGGGAACAUGGGAUAUGGUUGGUCUGUUCACAGACGGGUCUGGUGGCUUCGUUUCUUCAAUGGCUCUAUGAUGCAGGUACUAUACCCCUCUAGGCAUUGGAUUCAGCAGCGGCUAUCUCGACCUGCUUUUUGCCCUUUGAAAUUACAGCAUUGGAGGAGGUAAGGAAAGUUUUCUCUGUCGGUUUUGAAUAUGAAUGCAGCCUCUGAAUGUUUUUGUUGUUGUUGUUGUUUUUCUGAUUGGUCUUGAAUGGGUGAAUUUACUGUGCUGUUUCUUCUGUCCCCCAGCCAAUCAGACUAGGAAUUUAUUUCUGGGUUUUCUGGUCAACUGCAUCUAACAUAAUAGAGAUCCAAAUGUUUUGAGUAUAGAUACAAUAAUACUAAAUUUGUUCUAUAUUACUUUAUUGAAACCUUUAUUGAAAGGUUGACUCUGGAAUUGGGUUAUGGCUUUAAAGGAAUUUUUUUAUACAAACCAUUCAGGAUUAUAAUCUGACUGUUCUCAAAGAAAUAUUACAAAAAGGGAACCUGAGAAAAAAAUAAAUGACUACUGCCUCGUCCAUUCCAGGAUCCUUCCAGUCAUCUCUGGAAGUCAACUCUGAUAUCAGCCAUCACAGAGUCUUUGACGCUUUUACUUCUGCUAAUUACUGUUGGCUCUUGCAUCAAAUAAAUGAUAAUUCUUAUCUAGGUACCAUUAAGCCGAUGGUUAUUAGAUAUCAAUAUAAACAAGUAUCAAACAUAGAAUCAAGGAUUUGACCCAGGAUACAACUCAAGGGGCAAGUAUAAAACCUGCAAGCCCCACCUGCCCAAGAAUCAGGUAACUUUGUGGAAUGCUGGGAGUUGUAGUUCUUUGGGGGAAUAACAAAGCCACAUGGGAAAAUAUAGUGGUCAUAUGGUUUUGUCCUUAGAAGCCCCUACAUCAUGUGUCUUUUGGAUACUCUCUGAGAAACCAGGGGUGGUCCUGAUCAAAGUUCAUCCUGAUAUAACCAGCCACUUCAUACUGCUACUUCUGUGAGCUGUUCCUGCUACUAUUUCCUGCCUACCACAAUGGAGCUCAGCCAUAAACCACAGUCCAGUAUAAAUGCUUGCUUCCUAAGGGUUUUCAAGAUUGGCUUUCUCUGUGUAGCUCUG